GACGAACGCUGGCGGCGUGCUUAACACAUGCAAGUCGAACGGAAAGGCCCUGCUUUUGUGGGGUGCUCGAGUGGCGAACGGGUGAGUAACACGUGAGUAACCUGCCCUUGACUUUGGGAUAACUUCAGGAAACUGGGGCUAAUACCGGAUAGGAGCUCCUGCUGCAUGGUGGGGGUUGGAAAGUUUCGGCGGUUGGGGAUGGACUCGCGGCUUAUCAGCUGGUUGGUGGGGUAGUGGCUUACCAAGGCUUUGACGGGUAGCCGGCCUGAGAGGGUGACCGGCCACAUUGGGACUGAGAUACGGCCCAGACUCCUACGGGAGGCAGCAGUGGGGAAUAUUGCACAAUGGGCGGAAGCCUGAUGCAGCAACGCCGCGUGCGGGGUGACGGCCUUCGGGUUGUAAACCGCUUUCGCCUGUGACGAAGCGUGAGUGACGGUAAUGGGUAAAGAAGCACCGGCUAACUACGUG
rnacentral:rRNA from 1 species